rnacentral:misc_RNA from 1 species
CCUACAACAUCAUAUCUUCGAUAUGAAAGAUGGGCCUGUAGCUCAGCUGGUUAGAGCGCACUUAAGUCGUAACAAGGUAGCCGUAUCGGAAGGUGCGGCUGGAUCACCUCCUUUCUAAGGAUAUAUGGAGCAGCGUGCGUUUUCGUCUUGUUUAGUUUUGAAGGAUCAUUCCUUCAAAACAUGUCUCUAGCGAGACAGGAUUGUUCUUUGAAAACUAGAUAACAAUAAGUAAUACAUUCACAUUGAAUGCAAUGCAAAGUUCAUCACACAUAGUGAUUCUUUCUAAAGUAAGAAAUGGUUAAGUUAGAAAGGGCGCACGGUGGAUGCCCUUGGCAAAACGCAGGGAGGUCAGCGGUUCGAUCCCGCUAGGCUCCACCAACGUGUUCUUUGAAAACUAGAUAACAAUAAGUAAUAC